CCGUGGCCACACUCCAGCUCUGCGUCGCCGAACGCUGCCUCGUCUUCCAGAUUCUCCACUCCCCUUCAAUCCCUCCCUCUCUUGUUUCCUUCCUCGCUGACCCUAACAUCACUUUCGUUGGUGUUGGGAUCCAAGAAGACGUGGAGAAGCUUCUAGAAGAUUAUAAUCUUAACGUGGCGAAUGUUCGUGACCUUCGCUCCUUCGCUGCGGAGAGGCUUGGCGACCUUGAGCUGAAACGGGCCGGGCUCAAGUCUUUGGGCCUCCGCGUGCUGGGCCUGGAAGUUGCCAAGCCCAAGCGGGUCACCAGGAGUAGG
rnacentral:lncRNA from 1 species